GCAUAACGCGAAGAACCUUACCUAGACUUGACAUCUCCUGAAUUACUCGUAAUGGAGGAAGCCCUUCGGGGCGAGGAAGACAGGUGGUGCAUGGUUGUCGUCAGCUCGUGUCGUGAGAUGUUGGGUUAAGUCCCGCAACGAGCGCAACCCUUGUUGUUAGUUGCUACCAUUAAGUUGAGCACUCUAACGAGACUGCCGCGGUUAACGCGGAGGAAGGUGGGAUGGACUCAAAUCAUCAUGCCCCUUAUGUCUAGGGCUACGACACGUGCUACAAUGGCCGGUACAGAAAGAUGCAAACCCGUGAGGGGAGCUAAACUCAAAGACCGGUCCCAGUUCGGAUUGUAGGCUGAAACUCGCCUACAUGAAGUUGGAGUUGCUAGUAAUCGCGAAUCAGCAUGUCGCGGUGAAUACGUUCCCGGGUCUUGUACGACACCG
rnacentral:rRNA from 1 species